rnacentral:rRNA from 1 species
GCGGUAAUACGGAGGGUGCAAGCGUUAUCCGGAAUCACUGGGUUUAAAGGGUGCGUAGGCGGGCUAUUAAGUCAGUGGUGAAAKCUCACGGCUCAACUGUGGAAUUGCUUUUGAUACUGUUAUUCUUGAAUUAGGUUGAGGUUGGCGGAAUGUGUCAUGUAGCGGUGAAAUGCAUAGAUAUGACUUAGAACACCAAUUGCGAAGGCAGCUGACUAGACCUUAAUUGACGCUGAGGCACGAAAGCGUGGGGAGCGAACAGGAUUAGAUACCCUGGUAGUCCACGCCCUAAACGAUGCUUACUCGAUGUU